rnacentral:rRNA from 1 species
AUUGAACGCUGGCGGCAGGCCUAACACAUGCAAGUCGAGCGGUUGAGGGGAGCUUGCUCCCUGAUUCAGCGGCGGACGGGUGAGUAAUGCCUAGGAAUCUGCCUAUUAGUGGGGGACAACGUUUCGAAAGGAACGCUAAUACCGCAUACGUCCUACGGGAGAAAGCAGGGGACCUUCGGGCCUUGCGCUAAUAGAUGAGCCUAGGUCGGAUUAGCUUGUUGGCGAGGUAAUGGCUCACCAAGGCGACGAUCCGUAACUGGUCUGAGAGGAUGAUCAGUCACACUGGAACUGAGACACGGUCCAGACUCCUACGGGAGGCAGCAGUGGGGAAUAUUGGACAAUGGGCGAAAGCCUGAUCCAGCCAUGCCGCGUGUGUGAAGAAGGUCUUCGGAUUGUAAAGCACUUUAAGUUGGGAGGAAGGGUUGUAGAUUAAUACUCUGCAAUUUUGACGUUACCGACAGAAUAAGCACCGGCUAACUCUGUGCCAGCAGCCGCGGUAACAC